rnacentral:SRP_RNA from 1 species
CCGCGCUAGACGGGGAGGUAGCGGUGCCCUGUAACCUGCAACCCGCUAUAGCAGGGUUGAAUUCCUGGACGGAGGGCCUGCCUUGUGAGGUCUGGCUCGGGUAAGUGGUGAAGAAGUUCGGGUCCUGCGCAACGAGACAUCCUGAACCGUGUCAGGUCCGGGAGGAAGCAGCACUAAGGGAUUCACCUCGUGUGCCGCAGGGUAGCCUGAAUGGAGCAAACUGCCCGGGUAACGCUCGGAAGGUAUGUUCGAUGCCAGGUGCGCGG